rnacentral:rRNA from 1 species
GACGAACGCUGGCGGCGUGCUUAACACAUGCAAGUCGAACGCUGAAGCUCAGCUUUUGUUGGGUGGAUGAGUGGCGAACGGGUGAGUAACACGUGAGUAACCUGCCCCCUUCUUUGGGAUAACGCCCGGAAACGGGUGCUAAUACUGGAUAUUCACUGGUCUUCGCAUGGGGGUUGGUGGAAAGGGUUUUUCUGGUGGGGGAUGGGCUCGCGGCCUAUCAGCUUGUUGGUGGGGUGAUGGCCUACCAAGGCUUUGACGGGUAGCCGGCCUGAGAGGGUGACCGGUCACAUUGGGACUGAGAUACGGCCCAGACUCCUACGGGAGGCAGCAGUGGGGAAUAUUGCACAAUGGGCGCAAGCCUGAUGCAGCGACGCCGCGUGAGGGAUGGAGGCCUUCGGGUUGUGAACCUCUUUCGCUCAUGGUCAAGCCGCAACAAUGGUUGUGGUGAGGGUAGUGGGUAAAGAAGCGCCGGCUAACUACGUG